rnacentral:rRNA from 1 species
UACAGAGGAUGCAAGCGUUAUCCGGAAUGAUUGGGCGUAAAGCGUCUGUAGGUGGCUUUUUAAGUCUGCCGUCAAAUCCCAGGGCUUAACCCUGGACAGGCGGUGGAAACUACCAAGCUGGAGUACGGUAGGGGCAGGGGGAAUUUCCGGUGGAGCGGUGAAAUGCGUAGAGAUCAGGAAGAACACCGGUGGCGAAAGCGCUCUGCUAGGCCGCAACUGACACUCAUGGACGAAAGCUAGGGGAGCGAAUGGG